GUGAUAUUCAUUAGACGUACCUAUCCCGUCACUGUGUUAUUGUUCUAUGAUAAUUUUUGUAUUAUUGUCUUUCAUUUUGUCAAUUUGCUUUGUCAAUAUGCCUUCUUGGUUUUUUGAUACAUAUGACGUGGCUCUGUACAGUUAUACAUCCCCUCAUUGUGUUUUGUUCUGAUAAUUUUUGUAUUCUUGUCCUUCAUGUUUGCUUAUAUGCUUUUUGUUAUACCUUUUUGUGCUUCUUUGUUACAUUUUUGUUUGUUUUUAUGGUUAUUAAGAUGAUUGUUGACUGCUGUACCUCUAUGUUUGACAUUUUUACCUACAUAUAUGUAUUGUCUGUUUGUUCACCAUUUUUACAUAAGUCAGGAAUAUGACGGUUGUUAUCCAUUCGUUUGAUGUAGUUGAACUUUGGAUUUUGCCAUUGAUUAUGGACUUUCCGUU
rnacentral:lncRNA from 1 species